AGUGAACGCUGGCGGUAGGCCUAACACAUGCAAGUCGAACGGCAGCACAGUAAGAGCUUGCUCUUACGGGUGGCGAGUGGCGGACGGGUGAGGAAUACAUCGGAAUCUACUUUUUCGUGGGGGAUAAUGUAGGGAAACUUACGCUAAUACCGCAUACGACCUACGGGUGAAAGCAGGGGAUCUUCGGACCUUGCGCGAUUGAAUGAGCCGAUGUCGGAUUAGCUAGUUGGCGGGGUAAAGGCCCACCAAGGCGACGAUCCGUAGCUGGUCUGAGAGGAUGAUCAGCCACACUGGAACUGAGACACGGUCCAGACUCCUACGGGAGGCGGCAGUGGGGAAUAUUGGACAAUGGGCGCAAGCCUGAUCCAGCCAUACCGCGUGGGUGAAGAAGGCCUUCGGGUUGUAAAGCCCUUUUGUUGGGAAAGAAAAGCAGCAGGUUAAUACCCCGCUGUUCUGACGGUACCCAAAGAAUAAGCACCGGCUAACUUCGU
rnacentral:rRNA from 1 species